CUUUGAAAUGGAUGAUAUGAGUUCAGAGAAAUUCAACAAAAAAAAAAAAGGAAAUAUCACGCAGGUAUAUAUAUUUUGAUUGGCAUUCGAUAAACGAUCGAUUCUUAACUCUUUAAUUACAUAUUAUUUUCGUGGGUGGGUCGAGUUCUACAUAAUUGUUCUCACCGUGUAUUUACGGUUGCAAACAGGAGCGGAGGAGAGGAUUUGAUGAAAGGUGGUGCUGUCGUGGCGUCCGCGCGCAUUGUGUUCAGGUUGGUGCGGCCGGUCACGUGAUCGUCAAAUGGAUUUGCGUCAAUGGUGACCUCCGCGUUCGCGUAUCUCCGCACCCCGCUGUUCCGCAUAUCCCAUGGGCCCCAGCAAGAGACCCGUGGGACCAGCACUCGCCAACACCGGAGAUGAGAGAUAAUACAUCUAAAGAAAGUUUAUUUUCUUCGCAUUUAACGCAAUUAACUUUUUACGUACGUAAUAAUGAUCGAAGAAUUUCAUAAUCGAUUACGAAAUCCGAGAGCAAAACGGAGAAAAACAAAGAAAUAUGUAGAAAUAUGUAGCAAGUUUUUCAUAUUGGAGAAGAAAAAAAAUGCGAUGAUGAUAAUGUCAUUUGAAAUCGCGUGAAAUUAAAACAAAAGGAAGAUCGAAUUAUUCGAUGAACAAAAAAUAGACAAUAGAUUUAUAAUUUAUGACAGUUGUUCUCUCCCUCCCUCGAGUGUCCGUCUGUGGCCCGUUCCCACGGAAGAGCGCUGCCACGGGAAUUUGAAUGAAUAAUAUUCUUGCGAGAUGCUUUGUCAAAAAAAAAAAAAAAAAAAAGAAAAAGAAAAAAAAAGAAAGAAAAAAAGGAAUCAAGAGACAGCGUCAUCAGGAAACGGAGGAAAUUAAAUAAAUACAAGCUGGAAUUAUUGGAGAAUUCAGAAGCGAAGUGAAGAAAUGUAUUAUCUCGCGCCAUUUAUCGAUCACGUCGUUUGUCCCGGAACGGACUUCUUUUCGAAUGUUCCAGAAAUGUUUUCCAUCUCUCCGUACACGUUAUUUCACAGCAAUGGAAUUUUCCUUUGGAAUAAUCUACAUACGAAGCUUUUGUUUGAACAAACUGAAUGGAUUAACGAGAGCAACAGCUGUAUAAAUGAUGGUGAAUCGAUGCAAUCCUCCUCGGGUUUUACCUCGAGGAAACUCGACGAAGAAGAAAUAAACAUUUUAUCUUAAAUGAGAAAUAUCUUAUCGCCGAUGGAACAUUUCUUCGUGUUUUAAUUUAAACAUUUCUCGAUUGGAGGUUUCAGGUCGAAUUAUGUGGGUUAAGAUUGUAUCCCAUUGACGAGGAAGAGGAUUUUCAGGAAUUUCACUUACGUUCUUCCCGUUUUCGAAAUCCGAACGACGAGUCUGAAUAACCGUCGCACCUCGACUUUCACCUCGGCGAGAUUUUUACCGCCUCUCGAGUGGAAAAUUAAGUUAUCGAGAGGCGAAUGACAGAUUACGAUUACAAAAUUUUUGCCAAAAACUUGCCAAUGCUGAAACUUUAUCUACAACAGACGCUUUUAAAUUAAUCUCUGCUUUUGGCACGAAAUGAACUUUAAAGGAAAUUUUACGAUUGAAAGUUAAAAAUUAAUCAAUAUGCAUUUCGUCCGAGAAAUUCAUAAUUGUGUAAUAUAUAGAUAAAAUGAAGUUGUGCUAUAUCAUGCUACAAUAAGAACGAUUUGCUUGCAUAUCGUUUUGAAGGAAAGUCGAAUGAAUCGGUUUAAGGAUGAUGGAAAAAUCAUAAACAUGAAAGUAGAACGAAGAAUGUAUGUAAAAUUUUUAAUAAUGGUUAAACUCGAUUCAUCGCAAGGCAUUCGUCGUUGCAGACUGUUGAAUGAUUCAUUUAAAUCCUUUCGUUCGAUCCUAGACCUUGAAUAAACGGAAGAAAAAUGCACAACCGAGAUAUUGAAUCUAAAGAUUACAAGAAAUUCUGUGUAAAGUACCGUUUCUUGUUCCUUGUAUAUAUAUAUAUUGUAUUAUCUUUAAUUAUCUUUUUCUGAAAUUGAUAUGGGCAAAAAAAGAUGGUGAUUACUUGCACAACGCAAUAAGUGCCGUUAUCUCUUGAUUUAUUUACAACCUUGUCACUGUAAAUGGCACCAUUGAACUUUUAUAAAUAAUACGAAGUUUAAACUUCACUUGUUAUCUAACUUCUUAUCUAAAAAAGAAAUUUUUAUUUUAUUUUAAAAUGAAUUAUUCGAAAUUCGUAGAUAUAAAUCAUUACUUAUA